rnacentral:lncRNA from 1 species
CUAGUAAAUAUGCCCGUGCGUUGCAACGGGAAAUAAAUAAAUCCUUGUACAUCAGAAGUUCACUGAAAAUAAGAAAAAUAAUUUGUUUGUGUAAGUAUGAUUGUAUAAUAUGUUCAAUGAAUUUGUAAUUAAUAACAUUGAGAAUUUCUAUGUAGAAUUACCUAACACAAUAGCACUAUGUAUUGUCUGCUUCAAAUUUUAUAUGAAGUAAAACAGGGUUCAUGUCAACCCAUAGCUGUCAUCGCCAAACAGAUGCAUUGCUCGCUCCCAUGACAAUGUACCAUCGCCACACAAAUGCAUUGUUCCAUCCAAUGACCAUCUGCCAUGGUUGCAACAUGCUGCGUGCAAGUUCUAUCGCCUCCUCACCUCCAAAAAUACAAAAGAAAGUAUCCCCAUCUCAAAUCUCAGUAGCCAUGGGCAGCUGCAGUAAGUACUUGAAACCAAAAUACAACACAGGAAGGUGGAACAGUCUUUGUGGAGACAAAACGAAUAUCCCUAGGAGCUUCUGGUAUGGUAAGAAAAAAGACUAUCAAACCAAACAAAUUUUAUUACAGUAGAUUUCAAGAAGAAAUAUAAAUCCAAACCUUGAUUACAGAAGCUUUCAAGAAAAAAAAAACAUAAAUCACACGACAUUGAAAGAUACUAUCCAUGGGAAGGGUUCAGUUCUACUGCAAGACAAGACUGAAUCAGAGACAGAUCAGACCAUGAGAAGGUUUAGUUCCACUUCAAGACAGAACACUGAAAGAUAUUGUCCAUGAGAAAUUCCAAACAUCGGCUCAUACUCCAGUUUGUCCUCCUACCGUUCCACACCUUGCUUCCCCAAGCCGCAGCCACAAAGGUAGAAUAGCAUAUGAACUAAUUUUUCAGUAUACAAGAGCAAAAAAAAUCCUAAUACUACUCAGCGUUAUCUAAUAAGAAGAAGAAAAAACACAUAUGAAUACCUAGUAUAUUAACUAAACCUAGCGAUUCCAAAGAGAAUAACAUAUGAACUACACUUUUCAGUAUACAAGAGAAAAAGAAAGAGAACCCUAAUACUACUUAGCAACAUCAAGAAGCAAACCUUGCUGGAUCAUGUGUACGACGAGGUCAAGAGUAUUUGUUAUUGUUCAGCUCAGCGAUUUUCUUGUUCAGCUUGACGAGAUCGGGCUCUGUACUUGUUCAGCUCGGUGAAAUCAGGAUUCAAAUCCUGCGAAAACAAGAUAUCCCCAUGGCAACUUUUAAGUUUAGCUUCAACCGCUCUAAUACAUAAAUUGGAAAAAAAGUGAAGGAAUUUUUGUCGAACCUGGAGUUCUUGUCGAACUUACCAGGGUUUUUUUCCCGAUUCGAGCUGUUCCGGUCCGAAGCUGGUGUCUUCAUUUGAUUGGAUUCCGAUUCCAACUCGCUACGUGUGGAUGAACCAUCGGUGAUGCCAUGAACGUCGACCAAAGCGGCGGCGUCGGCUUGCGACAGCAAGGCGCGGGAGGAGGCGGAGACUGCUCCACUGAGUGUCGAUGCUGCGCGCGGCCCGAGAGGAGGAGGCGCAGACUGCUCCAUUGAGCGUCACGCUGUACGCGAGACGCGAGACGCGAGGAGCGGCAGCGCUGCGAGACAGCGGCGGCGGCGCGCGCGGGAUGGAAGCGGUGAGCACUGGCACUAAGACUGGAGGAACGGUGGCGCGGCGCGCGGCAUGGUUCCACGAGACAGGAGCAACGGCGGCGCGAGACAGAAGCGUUGCGUCGGCGGCGCGGGGAGACGACGGGACGAGAAGUGUUGCGGCAUCGGUGUGGGCAGCGACGUGAGGAAGUGGGCCAGUGCCUUGCUCGUGAGUGAGUGGGCCGGAUGGGCUAGAUUUGAAUGGGCUGGACGAAGAAAAAUACCAGAAAUUUUGUCUCUUUCGUCGUCUCCAUCGCGUUCGAUUCGUGGUUGUCGUGGACUCGGAGAGAGGAGAGGCAGAAAAAAAAGGCAGACUGAAAUUUUACCUCUUUAUUAAUAGGUAUAGAUA